GCGAGUGAAGCGGCAACAGCUCAAAUUUGAAAUCUGGCCCUCGGGUCCGAAUUGUAAUUUGUAGAGGAUGCUUUGGGUGCGGUGCCUUCCGAGUUCCUUGGAACAGGACGCCUUAGAGGGUGAGAGCCCCGUACGGUUGGACACCAAGCCUAUGUAAAGCUCCUUCGACGAGUCGAGUAGUUUGGGAAUGCUGCUCUAAAUGGGAGGUAAAUUUCUUCUAAAGCUAAAUACCGGCCAGAGACCGAUAGCGCACAAGUAGAGUGAUCGAAAGAUGAAAAGUACUUUGAAAAGAGGGUUAAAUAGCACGUGAAAUUGUUGAAAGGGAAGCGUUUAUGACCAGACCUUGGCUAGGCGGAUCAUCCGGUGUUCUUCACCGGUGCACUUCGCCUAGCUUAGGCCAGCAUCGAUUCUCGCAGGGGGAUAAAGACCGUGGGAAAGUAGCUCUCUUCGGGGAGUGUUAUAGCCCUAGGUGUAAUACCUCUGCGGGGAUCGAGGUUCGCGCUUCGGCAUGGAUGCUGGCGUAAUGGUCAUCAACGACCCGUCUUGAAACACGGACCAAGGAGUCGAACAUUUAUGCGAGUGUUUGGGUGUCAAACCCUCACGCGUAAUGAAAGUGAACGGAGGUGAGAGCCCUCAAGGGUGCAUCAUCGACCGAUCCUGAUGUCUUCGGAUGGAUUUGAGUAAGAGCAUAACUGUUCGGACCCGAAAGAUGGUGAACUAUGCGUGGAUAGGGUGAAGCCAGAGGAAACUCUGGUGGAGGCUCGCAGCGGUUCUGACGUGCAAAUCGAUCGUCAAAUCUGCGCAUGGGGGCGAAAGACUUAUCGAACCAUCUAGUAGCUGGUUACCGCCGAAGUUUCCCUCAGGAUAGCAGUGUUGUAUUCAGUUUUAUGAGGUAAAGCGAAUGAUUAGGGACUCGGGGGCGCUUUUUAGCCUUCAUCCAUUCUCAAACUUUAAAUAUGUAAGAAGCCCUUGUUGCUUAAUUGAACGUGGGCAUUCGAAUGUAUCAACACUAGUGGGCCAUUUUUGGUAAGCAGAACUGGCGAUGCGGGAUGAACCGAACGCGAGGUUAAGGUGCCAGAGUAGACGCUCAUCAGACACCACAAAAGGUGUUAGUACAUCUUGACAGCAGGUAUGUACAACCCUUCGUCUACAUCUUCUUUGUCGUGUAAAUUGUGAUUGAUUGCUAACUGAUUUUUUUUUUAUAGGACGGUGGCCAUGGAAGUCGGAAUCCGCUAAGGACUGUGUAACAACUCACCUGCCGAAUGUACUAGCCCUGAAAAUGGAUGGCGCUCAAGCGUCUCACCCAUACCUCGCCCUUAGGGUAGAAACGAGGCCCUAAGGAGUAGGCGGCC
rnacentral:rRNA from 2 species